AUUGAACGCUGGCGGCAUGCCUUACACAUGCAAGUCGAACGGUAACGGGCCUUCGGGUGCCGACGAGUGGCGAACGGGUGAGUAAUACAUCGGAACGUGCCCGAUCGUGGGGGAUAACGAGGCGAAAGCUUUGCUAAUACCGCAUACGAUCUACGGAUGAAAGCAGGGGACCGCAAGGCCUUGCGCGGACGGAGCGGCCGAUGGCAGAUUAGGUAGUUGGUGGGAUAAAAGCUUACCAAGCCGACGAUCUGUAGCUGGUCUGAGAGGAUGAUCAGCCACACUGGGACUGAGACACGGCCCAGACUCCUACGGGAGGCAGCAGUGGGGAAUUUUGGACAAUGGGCGCAAGCCUGAUCCAGCCAUGCCGCGUGCAGGAUGAAGGCCUUCGGCUUGUAAACUGCUUUUGUACGGAACGAAAAGCCUUCUUUUAAUACAGGAGGGUCAUGACGGUACCGUAAGAAUAAGCACCGGCUAACUACGUG
rnacentral:rRNA from 1 species